GUGAAAUGCUCAGCACAUUCACACAGUGACAGCAGAUGAGAUCUCCUGAAUCUUUUGCCAUAUAAUUUGUCAUAAACUUCGAAUUUUGCAGUGCUGGAUUCACGUCUAAAAUCUGAGACUGAUCAGAAGCUUUUGAGCUAGUUAUUCACAAAAGCACUGCUAGCACACUGAAGUUCUGUAGGGAACAUGGGUUUGGAUGGGUUUAGCAUUUCAGCUUUUUGAGAAUUCUGAAAAGCUCUGAGAGUUAUGAAUGCAGAAAGUACAAUCAGAAAGAAUCAGCUGAAAAGCUGAGAACCAGAUGCAACAAAUCCAAUUUUGAAUGGCAAGCCAUUAGUGUUAUGUACAAUUGCAUCUUGCUAAAAUUACACAGGGGAUAAAUCAAUUAUACACAUUACUUUAAACAGUGAGUGUCUUAGAAUCGAUUCUGAUCCUUGCACAAAGUGAAUUGGAUGUGCUGGUUUUUACUCCUUUUUUUUUUCCUGGCAUAGGAUAUACACAGCUCUUCCUAUUUUUGUAUUACUUGUAUACAGUUUUAUUUCAGUAGGAAAAAAUAUCCACCAUGCCUAAGAAAUGAAGCAAUAUGCACUGUCCAAAAUAUUGAUUCUACCCCUCCUCCCACAUACUGCCAGCUGCAUGGCCUGCAGCUUUUCCACCACUCCCUGCACCGUAUCGUUACUCAUUGCUCUUAUGAGCAAGGAUUCAAAAUAAGGCAUUGGGACAUUUAAGAUCUGCUCCUAUCUGACAGCAGCUUACCUUUGAUCUAAAACUUGACAAUCCAAUCCUAAGCCCCUUUCCUAGCUAUUCUAGCAAUGGAAAUGCUGACAGUAAUAGAAGCAAAGAAGACUUUAUCAUGACCUAGGUACAGUGUGGCGAAAUAUGGCCAGCAACAGGAUCUUGAGAUAAAUCCAGGAAUCCAAACACUGAUUUUUCUGUUGGGUUUGUUGUUUUCUCAGUGAUUUCUCUCUCUGUCACCAACCUACCAGACACAGAUUUGAGGAGAUAAAAGAGGUUACAGGACAGAGAAGAUGACAACCCCUGAGCAUGGCUGGAGCCUCCUGGCAGCAGCGUGCAGCCUCCUCCCCAGACCACAACAGUGCAGAAUGUCCCUUCACAGCUACGUUAGACUUUGGCUGUGACAUCAACAUUAGUUUAUUCCAUCAGCACUUCAUCUGAUGAAAAUUUCCCCUGCAACCUGCUUACCAGAGGUUUUUAUAUCACUUUGAUACUUAGGACAGAUGAAAAUGCUUUAUCUUGAGAAGCUGUUGGAUACCUAGUUGGAUAUAUUGCCACGUGUGACCAGAAGUUCUGGGAUAUUUUCUUUGGUGUUAUUUUUAAACACUGUACAGGACACAGCUCAAAUUGGAUUUUCCUGUGUCAUCUGACCUAAAAAAAAUGACUUUCCAUUGUUUAAUCCUUCUUAAAUCAUAAUUACAGUUGUAAAAUGACAUGUCAUUCUCACAAGCAGGGCCUUGCUGGAUUGAGAUGGAGCUUGGUGUGUGCUUUUAGAGCUUUGCAGUCGUUUGCUGCACCAUAUAUAGAGACAACACUCUGAAGGGAAGCAGGAGAAAAACAGAACUGGUACUGCUGUGUUUCUCCUGCAGACAGGAAAUCAAUAACAUGGUUUGGAUGAGAGGUGGUAGCUGCAGUUCGUUUUUGUAAAUGCAACGUGUCAAAAAUCUAUGUAGCAUUAACAAAAAAUGUUCAUGAACUACUUUGAAAAAAGUUAUUUUCUUUCAUUUGUCUGUGAAAUAUAUUAUGUACCUUCAGGUGCAGAGCACCUGACACAAAGCAGCACAGUAGGAGCAGCCAACAGGGGAAUGGGAAGCAUUGUGCAGAGCCAGCAUCAAAUGGUUUUGCACUUAGACCUCACUGGGAAAUGCAAAGUUCUGUGAUAACAUGUUUGAUGACUAUGUCAGGAAAUGACAAAAGUCACUAUCUCUGGCUGUGGGACAAUAUGACUUGCCACCAGAGGCUGGAAUUGUCCAAGACUUCACUACUGUUACUGGAGAAAAAGCAAAUACAUAGUCAAUGAUGUGAUUUGGUUUUAUUAAAUAUUUCAUUUAAUAAAUCUCUCUUGUCUCAUAACUGAAAACGGUGAUGAGAAUAUUUUAAUCAUAAUUUCUUCCAGCUUUAAUUUUCAGGAAGAUGGUGCUGCUGUGCACAUGAAUUUAAAUCUUCAUAGCACAAAGAGAUUAAAUCACUAACUAAAGUGUGUGAAUGACCAAGUAAUGAAAGGAAAAUACCAGAGUACAGAAAAAGUGUAAGAUUACAGAAAUCAUAGCAUAAAACUAAAGAAAAAUUGAACUUUUUGUGUUCUCAGGCUUCAAAGGCUUUUGCAUUUCCCAGAGGAGCUCCAUUGUCUAUUAUUACUCUUCAAGAACAAAGAGAAACUGCAGUUUUCAGUGCUCUGAGUUAGUGUACCUCUCCUCUUGCUUGUGGAGGAGGAUGAAGAACAGGAACUGCCUGCCUGGGCAAGCUGUGUCCACCAAACCCUGGCAAAGCUUUCCAGCCAUGGCUCAGUGUCCGUAAUCAGGCAAACCUUAGGUAACACUAUUAACAAAACAGGGGCAAACAAGGUUAAUUAUAAAGGCCUACUUUUCUAAGAAAAGUAGCUUGGCAUAAAAGGUGAAGUGUUUCUUUCUCUUGAUAGUGUGUGCCAGGAGGGGGAAACAGCAGCAACUGAAGGCUCAGGCGGAGCUGCCUUAGUCUGUUCCAGUGCUUGGCUCCUGAUUCUGCUGUGGUGAAAUCUGGAUCCAGUCUUCAAAAAUAAAAGCUUUGCUCUUAUAUACAACAAAAGAGAUGAUGUAUACCAACAUUUGCCCUACGGUGGUAUUUUUGGAGUGUUAUUUUUAUAUUCUGACUCCAGUGUUUGGGAAUGUUGUAAGGCAAGCAUUGCUCUGUCUUAGAUGUUGGUGGAGGAUGCAAAUGUAGCAGCCACAGCACCUCUGACCUCAGCUGCCACUCACUGUGUGUCUCAAUAGAGAUGUUUGGAGAGGAAGAACUUGUUUCAGUCUGAGUUGAAAGAGAAUUUUCUAUCUUCUGUAUUAGUGUGCCUUUAAUAAAAGAGAUAUUGAGACAUUACAGUGUGACCUAAAGAAAGACAAGAUACAGGUGCUGCUGAUUAAUCUCACUGUCAUAGAGGGGUUGUUCUGCUAAUAACGAAAAGGACAUUAUGUCCUCCUGCAAUAUUCUGUCCUUUAUAACCUUCAGAACAAAAUAGCUACAUACAAAAAUCAGAAAUUGUAUGGUUUACUCAUAUCCCCUCAGCAUUUAUAUUUCUCCAAGGGAAGGCAGAGGAUGAUAACCGAGAAUAUUGCCUGAUAAAGCAGCUUGGUUAACGGUCUGUGGUAUUAUACUCUUUGUGGUUAUCAUCAGAUUGCAAAAAGCAAUAUCUAAUCUUGACUGGAAAAACAAGAAAGCCAGAGAAAAAAGUGUGUUGUUUUCUGAGAUGAAACAAUUUCAGUCACCCUUGGAGGCUAAAAAGUUAACAUUUCCUUGGACAGCUACAAAUAUUUGUGAAUUGCCCCCAAAUGUACUAAGCCGGGGAAUAUUAUCAGGCCUAAUAACUUUCACAACUGACUUUGAACAUUAAUAGUUGGAUUAAUAAAGUUGGAUCUUACUCUGU